CCUACGGGAGGCAGCAGUGAGGAAUAUUGGUCAAUGGGCGCGAGCCUGAACCAGCCAAGUCGCGUGAGGGAGGACGGCCCUACGGGUUGUAAACCUCUUUUGCCGGGGAGCAACGUGCGUCACGUGUGGCGCCACUGAGAGUACCCGGAGAAAAAGCAUCGGCUAACUCCGUGCCAACAGCCGCGGUAAUCCGGAGGAUGCGAGCGUUAUCCGGAUUUAUUGGGUUUAAGGGGUGCGUAGGCGGAUGGUUAAGUCAGUGGUAAAAUGGAGGGGCUCAACCCCUUCCCGCCAUUGAAACUGGCGCUCUUGAGUGGAAGAGAAGUAUGCGGAAUGCGUGGUGUAGCGGUGAAAUGCAUAGAUAUCACGCAGAACCCCGAUUGCGAAGGCAGCAUGCCGGCUUCCGACUGACGCUGAAGCACGAAAGCGUGGGGAUCGAACAGGAUUAGAUACCCGUGUAGUC
rnacentral:rRNA from 1 species